rnacentral:rRNA from 4 species
GACCUCGGAUCAGGUAGGGAUACCCGCUGAACUUAAGCAUAUCAUA